rnacentral:lncRNA from 1 species
CGGGGGUGUGAGCCUUCUGCAGCAAAGCUGAGCGGGGCGUGGUGGGGGGCCCCGCGGGAAGCCGGGUGCUCUCGGCGCGGAGACGAACACUCCAGAAGGGACAGGGGCUCGUCGGUGAGCGAGCGUCUCCACCCGCUCCUUGGCAACGCAGGGGCGCGGCACAGCAGGGGAAGAGACCCGCAGCCCCGGGCGAGUCGGAGGAGGACGGGCUUCCCGCCCCAGCGCCGCCGCCGGCCACUGACCUCGAGAAGCCGCGCGUCCACUCUGGGCAGCCGUGCCCCCGUCGUGGUCCCAGCCUCGGAGGGCGCUAACCACACGUUUGUGAUUGACCUGGCUUGACCACCACACAGCAGCAAGGAUUUCAGCGG